CUACAGAGAGAAGCCUCGGCAAGAUAGGGGAAGGCUGUCACCUGGGCUGGGAGCGGGCAGGGUGGAAGGGCCACUCCUGGCUCCCAGGUUGCUCAGCGUUCACACAUCUACCCCGGCCGCAUCAGCCUCCCUGCUGGCCGCAUGGUUAGGAGGACCACAGUUGAAGUGAGCUGAGAUCGUGUCAUUGCACUCCAGCCUAAGGGACAGAGCGAGUGACACUGUCUCAAAAAAAGAGAAUGUACAACACCAAGGUGAACUCCAGGGUAAAUGAUGGACUCGGGCUGAUAAUGCUGCCUCAGUGCAGGUUCAUC
rnacentral:lncRNA from 1 species